GAAAUGCGAUAAGUAAUGUGAAUUGCAGAAUUCAGUGAAUCAUCGAAUCUUUGAACGCACAUUGCGCUCGCCAGUAUUCUGGCGAGCAUGCCUGUUCGAGCGUCAUUUCAACCAUCAAGCUCUGCUUGCGUUGGGGAUCCGCGGCUGCCCGCGGUCCCUCAAAAACAGUGGCGGGCUCGCUAGUCACACCGAGCGUAGUAACUCUACAUCGCUAUGGUCGUGCGGCGGGUUCUUGCCGUAAAACCCCCAACUUCUAAGGUUGACCUCGGAUCAGUUAGGAAUACCCGCUGAACUUAAGC
rnacentral:misc_RNA from 1 species